ensembl:lncRNA
GUCAGAACAAAUGCAAGAACCGGAGUGCUUCACAGUCUUGUCUUCUGAGCAGGGCUACUGAGCUCAUGAACUCACAGCAGCUGUGCUUACAUGAGUAAGAUUAGCACAAGUUCAAGGCAACCAACAUCCAACGUGAACAGGAAGAUGAUCACCAGACCCCACCCCCUAAGUGAUGGUUGCUGCAGGAGGAAGAAUCGUUCUUCUUUGGGGGUGUGGCUAUUGGUUGUUUUCUCAGGCUCUGGUGGACAUUCCCACCCAUCCGUGCAGCACUAAUUGGACAUAGUAGGUUUAUUUAAAAAUAAAAAAGACAUGAAGAUGAAAGGGGAUAUGAUAUGGGAAGUCUGUGAAUAAUAGGAGUGUGGGGAUUGGAUACAAUCAUAUUUGGUUGUAUGUGUAUAUGAAAUUCUCAGAAAACAUAUUUUAAGUGAAAAGGUUGCUAUCAGCAAGCUUGGCAGCCAAACAAGGAAACAACAACAGAGGAAAAUGGACUUCUGUCUAUUAAAAGUCUACGCAUCUUUGCAGUCAUGGAAAACUUUACAAAUUAUUACACAGGACGUUUGCAAUUAGCACAUGCAUUAUGGGAAAUAUAGUGGAAAUGAUAUGGUGAAAAGUUCAAAAGUCACAUGCCUUUUAAUGUCCCGAGUCACCAUCACCACAAUAAUGUGAACUGGUUAAUUGCUACACAUCCCGUUCUGGGAGAGGAAGCAAAUAGACAGAGAAAUGUUUGCAUAAUGGAAAGUAACUGGAUGACAACUUAAGUAUUAAGCUUUUUUGGAUGGAAAGAAUUACCCAUAUCAAUAGAGGUAGUUACUAAAUGUUUUAUUAUUUGAGACUCAGAAAGGAGUGACUGCUUGCUAAGUAAAACUAUGUCCUCCAAUAGUUGGGUCCCUAAAAUCCAUACCAUCGUCUAUCCCUUAAUGUAAAGAAUGAGAAGACAACUUGAGGUCUUUCCAGAAAUGAUGCUGGAAUGAAGCAGCAGGAAGAAGGAAGCUGGACUGAGAGAGAGUCACUUGGUAUUCAAAAGAUGACACCGGCAGCAAAGGAGAAAUAGAAAGCCUGCAAAAAUAGGCCUCUUGACUAUUGACCAAGAAUUUGCCCAAACAGAAAAGGAGACUGAGGUUUCCAAUCUUUUCAUCUAACUUCGAGGCCAUUUUGAAGCUCCACUAUUUUUGUUAUUUACAGGGUUGCAUUUUGUGUAUUUAUUAUGAAGGUUUUGUUUCUUUUCGGAAAAUGAUUUUGCCAUUUGGCUCCUUCCUAAGAUCAAUACUUUCUAAUUGUCAUUCAUGGCAAUUGACUGGGUGUGAAAAUUUUAGCUUCCAUAGAUAUUUAUAUCAAAUCCAAAAUGUACUUUUUACCCAUAUCUGUAGAGUUAAAUCAGUUACAGUAUUUAUAGCAACCAUGUGCAUAUAUAAUGGAAAGCUUUAUAUGUAUAAAAUUUUCAAGUUCUCUGUGUGUGUGUGUUAUACAUUGUUCAAGAAUUUGUCCUAAAGAAGAAUUCUCUAUUUUCCAUUCUGUUGUCUUAGCAUUGUUCAUUUUAGCUCGAUUAUGUGAUUGUAUUAAUCUUGCAUAUUUAAGUACAUUAUUUUU